AUUGAACGCUGGCGGCAUGCCUUACACAUGCAAGUCGAACGGCAGCGCGGACUUCGGUCUGGCGGCGAGUGGCGAACGGGUGAGUAAUACAUCGGAACGUACCCUGUUGUGGGGGAUAACUAGUCGAAAGAUUAGCUAAUACCGCAUACGACCUGAGGGUGAAAGUGGGGGAUCGCAAGGCCUCACGCAGCAGGAGCGGCCGAUGUCUGAUUAGCUAGUUGGUGGGGUAAAGGCCCACCAAGGCGACGAUCAGUAGCUGGUCUGAGAGGACGAUCAGCCACACUGGGACUGAGACACGGCCCAGACUCCUACGGGAGGCAGCAGUGGGGAAUUUUGGACAAAGGGGGCAACCCUGAUCCAGCAAUGCCGCGUGUGUGAAGAAGGCCUUCGGGUUGUAAAGCACUUUUGUCCGGAAAGAAAUCGCGCUGGUUAAUACCUGGCGUGGAUGACGGUACCGGAAGAAUAAGCACCGGCUAACUACGUG
rnacentral:rRNA from 1 species